rnacentral:rRNA from 1 species
UACAGAGGGUGCAAGCGUUAAUCGGAAUCACCGGGCUUAAAGCGUGUGUAGGCGGAUCGUUAAGUGUCUUGUGAAAUCCCACGGCUCACCCGUGGAACUGCUGGGCAUACUGGCGAUCUUGGGCCAACUAGGGGCAACUGGAACAAGCGGUGGAGCGGUGAAAUGCGUAGAUAUCGCUUGGAACGCCAACGGGUGAAAAACAGGUUGCUGGGGGUUGUGCCGACGCUGGAGACACGGAAAGCCAGGGGAGCAAACGGG